GCACAAAAGAAAUAAAUUAUUAUUUUUGUUUCUUUUUUCCAAGUUUAUUCCAAACUUUAACUCUAAUAAUACAAAUGACUAAGGACCAGCUUAACAAAUUCAGAAUCUCUCUGUAUAUAUAUAUAUAUAUAUUUAUAGAAUUCUUUUUACAUGAUUUGGAGUAUCAGUAAAAAAAAAAAGGUUCAAAAACCUUCCCACCCCCUGAAACUUUUCUAUUCACAAUAACAAGGAGUGAUUCAUUCUGCAUUUUGUUUUUUUAAAAAAAGGAAGAUCCCCAAACAGCACCAUUGGAUAGAAUCCUGAAGCACAGUAUAGCUGAGAAACAAAAAUAUUUUUUAUAAGUUUGCAAAAUUACACUAGGUAAACUUUAGCUAAUUUUUUCCUACAGGUAGAUGAUAUGAGGUAGGCUUAUUCCUCCUAGAUAAAAUCUGCAGUUGAGUUCUUCCUUUGUUUGCACAGAAAAAAAAUAUUCACUUAUUUUGUUUACAUGCUAAUUCAUCACUCGGAUGCCCCGAUCUAUAUAGGAGGCAAUUCACAUGAGUGGAAACAGGCUUCCAUUCACAGAUCCCCCAGAUGGCUAUGCUAGUCUUCUUCACAUAUUACUUGUAUGAAGGCGGCAACAUGGAAAGAAAAGUACUUGAGGUCACAAAAGACUCCUCAUAUGGUGAGGGAUAACAAGUGGAGAGACUUUUUCUACCCGUGUAAGCUUGUCAUUCAGGAUUCUUAAAUCAUGCAGGGAGCUUGCAGGGAUAAAAAGGCUCCCUACUUCAGAAGUUAUCCUUCAGCACAAAAGGGGUCAGAAUGAAUCAUGCAGCCUCAAGGGCAGGGUGAACACACAGCCUUGCGGUCCGUUUAUAUCUGUGUUGCCUCUUUGUUAUUGUGUGAAGACGGCUACUGUCAGCUCAAGCCAGUUCACUCUCCAGCCUGGUGUUCCUUCCCCCUUUCUCUCUCUCUCUCCUUGGACAACAGAUAAUGAACACUGAUCACAUCUUGAAGGUGAGAGGUUGCACCAGGAGAGAAGCAGGGGCUGUUCAAGUCUUCUGCUCUACUCCUGACUUCAUUGACUGGGACCAGCGAAUGCAUAGUGCACCUGCUUUUUACAGAUAGCAGAUUUUACAAUUUAAAUGCCCUUUGAUUUUUAAGGCACCAACUUGGUAUUACUGUUAAGUGCAAUUGUGUCCACUGUUUUUUUUUAAAAAAAAAUAAUACUGGUCAAUAUAGUGAAGCCGUUCAAUGCAUUGGACAUAUUGUCACAUCAGUAAUGCAAAUAUUCUUGCAAACUUUCUGUUUCUUAAGAUGUAUCAAAACCAAGUGUUUCCCUGUGCAUUCCACAUUUAAACCUGCAUGCAUUCUUGUAUAAAUGAAAAUUUAUCAUGGAGAGGUGUAAAAUUACUCCCUCCUAGGAAGCAAUUUGAAGAUGCCUGCUUGCACGUUCCAGAAAACAGCCACCCUGCUGCCACAGAUUUAUGUGGUACAUUGCAAUGUGCAACUACUGCUUCUUUUAUUUUCAUGGUGCUUCAAUGAGAAAGAGACAU